CCUACGGGUGGCAGCAGUGAGGAAUAUUGGUCAAUGGUCGCGAGACUGAACCAGCCAAGUCGCGUGAGGGAUGAAGGUACAGAGGAUCGUAAACCUCUUUUGUCAGGGAACAAAAGCGGGGACGUGUCCCCGGAUGAGUGUACCUGAAGAAAAAGCAUCGGCUAACUCCGUGCCAGCAGCCGCGGUAAUACGGAGGAUGCGAGCGUUAUCCGGAUUUAUUGGGUUUAAAGGGUGCGCAGGCGGACGGUUAAGUCAGCGGUAAAAGUCGGGGGCUCAACCUCUGCGCGCCGUUGAAACUGGGAGUCUUGAGUUGGAGAGAAGUAUGCGGAAUGCGUGGUGUAGCGGUGAAAUGCAUAGAUAUCGCGCAGAACUCCGAUUGCGAAGGCAGCAUGCCGGCUCCACACUGACGCUGAGGCACGAAAGCGUGGGUAUCGAACAGGAUUAGAUUCCCCUGUAGUC
rnacentral:rRNA from 1 species